ensembl:snRNA U6 U6 spliceosomal RNA
GUGCUCGCUUAGGCAGCACAUACGUUAAAAUUGGAAUGAUAAAGAGAAGAUUAACAUGGCCCCUGUGCAAGGAUGACACGCAAAUUCAUGAAGAGUUCCAUAUUUAA